UUAAUUUUAUUUUGUAAAUGCUCAGACAACCAGAGUUACAGGAGUUUACAUCCCUCUGGCAGGCACCGUGACCGGCCACAGACCUCUCCCAGAGAUCGCCUGCCAAAGAAACAAUGAACUUUUGAUAGAUUCACAAAGGGUUUAGGAGUUGUUUAACUCUAUAAUGAUCCCUCCGCAGGUUCACCUACGGAGA
rnacentral:misc_RNA from 1 species